rnacentral:rRNA from 1 species
UACGUAGGGUGCAGGCGUUAAUCGGAAUUACUGGGCGUAAAGCGUGCGCAGGCGGUUUGCUAAGAGAGAUGUGAAAUCCCCGGGCUUAACCUGGGAACUGCGUUUCUAACUGGCAAGCUAGAGUAUGGCAGAGGGGGGUAGAAUUCCAGGUGUAGUGGUGAAAUACGUAGAUAUCUGGAGGAAUACCAGUGGCGAAGGCGGCUAUCUGGACCAACAUUGACACUGAGGCCCGAAAGCGUGGGGAUCAAACAGG